rnacentral:rRNA from 1 species
GACGAACGCUGGCGGCGUGCUUAACACAUGCAAGUCGAACGGAAAGGCCCUGCUUUUGUGGGGUGCUCGAGUGGCGAACGGGUGAGUAACACGUGAGUAACCUGCCCUUGACUUUGGGAUAACUUCAGGAAACUGGGGCUAAUACCGGAUAGGAGCUCCUGCUGCAUGGUGGGGGUUGGAAAGUUUCGGCGGUUGGGGAUGGACUCGCGGCUUAUCAGCUUGUUGGUGGGGUAGUGGCUUACCAAGGCUUUGACGGGUAGCCGGCCUGAGAGGGUGACCGGCCACAUUGGGACUGGGAUACGGCACAGACUCCUACGGGAGGCAGCAGUGGAGAAUAUUGCACAAUGGGCGGAAGCCUGAUGCAGCAACGCCGCGUGCGGGAUGACGGCCUUCGGGUUGUAAACCGCUUUCGCCUGUGACGAAGCGUGAGUGACGGUAAUGGGUAAAGAAGCACCGGCUAACUACGU